rnacentral:rRNA from 1 species
AUUGAACGCUGGCGGCAGGCCUAACACAUGCAAGUCGAACGAGUGGCGGACGGGUGUGUAAUGUCUGGAAACCUGCCUGAUGGCGGGGGAUAACUACUGGAAACGGUAGCUAAUACCGCAUACCAUCGGAUGUGCCCAGGUGGGAUUAGCGAGUAGGUGGGGUAAAGGCUCACCUAGGCAAAGAUCCCUAGCUGGUCUGAGAGGAGGACCAGCCACACUGGAACUGAGACACGGUCCAGACUCCUACGGGAGGCAGCAGUGGGGAAUAUUGCACAAUGGGCGCAAGCCUGAUGCAGCCAUGCCGCGUGUAUGAAGAAGGCCUUCGGGUUGUAAAGUACUUUCAGCGGGGAGGCGGUACCCGCAGAAGAAGCACCGGCUAACUCCGUGCCAGCAGCCGCGGUAAUAC